GUGAAUAUAUCAAAAUUGUACAUUUCAUUUUUAGCGAAAGGGAGUAUUUGUUUCGUUCAUUCCCGCCUCUGUAAACAAACAAAAUGUUGGCAACAAAACCUCUGUUCUACCAUCAUCGUUCUCCUAUCGUCAACCAAGUACUUACCCUCAUGAUCAAGGACACUCCAUUCAAUCUCUUUAAUCCACCCGCUUCAUUCUCAUGGACCUCCGAGUCCGUAUCCGAUGUACUCCGUUCCAUACCCACUUUCUUCUUCAUUCCUACCCGCUCCAUUGGCCGUCAAUCCAACCCGACCCGCCACCGUGCUCCACUUAAACAACGCAACCUUUCAUUAGAAUCCAAUAAACUCCAAAAAGGAACCCUUGUUCUAGGCCCUGCUGCCCAUCGUGACCCAACCAGUAUUGAUCAUGGCGUUUUAAAGUCCACCCAGUUUUUUUACUGGGUCGAAUCUCAUUCUGGGUUCACCCAUGAUGAAACCACCGUCAAGGAGAUGGCCAUUGUUUUUGCUAAAGCUAAUAAACUGAUUAAUCUCUGGAAUUUUCUUAAAGAAAUGAGCAGAAGAGAUAAUAAUGGGCUUGUAACUACCAUGUCUAUUACCUGUUUGAUAAAAUGCUUAGGUGAACAAGGACUUGUAAAUGAGGCGUUUCAUGCUUUCUGUAGAUUGCGACAGUUUCACUGUAAGCCUGAUGUUUAUGCUUACAAUACUAUAAUUCUUGCUCUUUGUAGAGUUGGGUUUUUUAAGAAAGCUAAGUCUUUAUUGCAGAAAAUGGAAUUACCUGGGUUUCAAUGCCAGCCUGAUACCUACACAUACACAAUUUUAAUAAGCUCGUAUUGCAAGUAUGCAAUGCAAAUUGGGUCUAGGAAGGCUAUUCGUCGUAGGAUUUGGGAAGCUAAUCAUUUGUUUAGGUUGAUGUUGUUUAAGGGUUUUGUUCCUGAUAUUGUUACUUACAAUAGUUUGAUUGAUGGUUGUUGUAAAACUAAUAGGAUUGAGAGAGCUCUUGAGCUUUUUGAUGAUAUGAAGAAGAGGGGUUGUGUUCCAAACCGGAUUACUUAUGAUUCGUUUAUUAGAUAUUAUAGCACGGUGAAUGAGAUUGAUAAAGGUAUUGAAAUGUUGAGGAGAAUGCAUGAAACGAACCAUGGAACGCCGAGUACUAGCUCCUACACUCCGAUUAUUCAUGCGUUGUGUGAAGUGGGAAGAGCAACUGAUGCUUGGAGGUUUCUUGUGGAGCUUGUGAAUGGAGGUUCCAUCCCUAGGGAGUACACUUACAAGUUGGUUCUUGAUGGAUUACGCUCGAGUGGAAGAGCAGAUUUGCUGAAUGAAGGAAUGUGUAAAAGAAUUGAGGAUGGUAUAGUAGUUAGAUAUAGGCAAAGAAUGAUGACUAAACCCCAUAUGAAUCAUAAAGGUUCCAUUGUUGUAGUUGAAGAUCAUUGAUUGAGGUACUUUUACUGUCCUGUAGUCCUGUUAUUCUACAACAAACCAUCCAUUGGCCUGUGCACUGAAACAAGAGGUAUACAAGUAUACAACUAAGUUGCUCCUACCUAGACGGGGUUUGCGACUUUGGAGAGAUGGAAUGUAUGCAACCUUCCUCUUGUAAUAACAAAUAUGUUUCUAUUCAGCCAUUAAUUGCAUACAUAAUCUACAAUUUCACAUAAUAAAAAAGCGCAUAUGAUUUGCGAGUCAUUUUACAUUAGCCUAUUGUUGGAGUAUAUAAUAUAUCCUGGAGCCUCAACCAUCAGCGUAAGCUUUUGGUUGAGUUGGUUCAUUGACAUGGUAUCAGAUGCCAACGUGACAAGAGGUUACGGGUUCGAAUCUCAACCACCCCUCAUUUAAAGUAGAAUAUUCAGCCAUGCGCAUCCACACUUCUAGCCCAAUAGGCUCUGUGUGAGGGGGCGACUUAUAAUAUAUAACAUAUCUUGGGGUCUCAAUCAUCAGUAUCGCUGAACAAUGGUGUAUAUCUCUGGCAUUAACUCAGGCCUUCUACUUCAAAAGCUUAUGGUGUCACGUGAUUCAUUAAUCUACCCUCGAGUUGCAAAUCAAAACAAGCAAAUUAUGAUGGACUUUGUGCUAUUUUGAGGCUUUUUAAGCGAAUUGCGAAUUUAAAAAGCUAAUUUUCUAGCGAAAUAUGAAUAUCCAUUCAAAUUUGAAAAGCAGUUUACAAUCAAAAUGUGCUUUCAAUAACCUGAAAACUCUGCCUCCAGUGGGAAUCUAUUGUUGUCACCAAGGCAUUUCAGGUGGACAGCUCUAUACUGCACUGUUUCGAGCAAAGAAAUCCUCUCAGGUGACGGUUUUACUGAUCCGAUUUUAUAAGAUAAUGAGCAAACUCUCUUGAACAAAGUUCUCUUUUUAUGCGAUUUGUUGUAUUCGGAAUACUUCAGAUACGAGGCAUUGAUGCAUCUGGAGCCGAUGAUACCUCUUCAAAUAAGUAAUCUACAUGACAAUUGGGGUUGAUAUUUUAUAUUUCAUCCCUAUUGUGUUCUGUCACAUUAGACUUGUCUUUAAAAGAAAAUGUUAUGCCAAGUAUAAUCCUGGCCUUAAACUUCUCAUCUGAUCUCACUGAAUAUGUUAAGAGCCAUACUUUUUGCUACCCGGAUUAAAAUAACUUAGCUGCCUCUGAGCAGCUGUCAGCUAUAUCAGCUGAUGACCCAAAUAUUUUGAGACAUUUUACUUCUGCUGAUAAUAUAAACAAGAAAACUUUACUUGUUUUGAACUUUGUAUUGAUGAGUUGAUGACUAGGUUCCAAUGGUUUCGUCAUGAGUUAGACUUGAGUUAAUUAUAGGUUUCUACUAAUAGUAUAUCAGCAUUCAGCUCUGCAAAUUCAAAAAUAGAUUAUAAAAUACAUAAAAAAAAAACUACUUGAUUUGGUGACUAGGUUUUAAUGGUUUAUCUUUUUUUUUGUUUUUGUAUGACCCGACUGUUAAGAAAAUGACCCGACUCAGUUUGAUUCGAUCUGUUAUACACCUCUACUUUACUUUAGAUGUAGGAUCAAGUAACAAUAUAACUUAAACUAAAAGAUAAUGUGAGAAAUUGUUAUUAACAAUAAUUCAUAAUGUCAACUCAAUAUUUGGUGUUAUAUUAUUGACUUGUAUUUAACUUGUUAAUUUUUAUUGAUGAGUUGGUGACUAGGUUUUAAUGCAAAAAUUAUAAAUAAUGCAAAAAAGCAAUUUCAAUAGUAGUUACAGUUAUAAU